GAUGAACGCUGGCGGCGUGCCUAAUACAUGCAAGUCGAGCGAACGGACGAGAAGCUUGCUUUUCUGAUGUUAGCGGCGGACGGGUGAGUAACACGUGGAUAACCUACCUAUAAGACUGGGAUAACUUCGGGAAACCGGAGCUAAUACCGGAUAAUAUUUUGAACCGCAUGGUUCAAAAGUGAAAGACGGUCUUGCUGUCACUUAUAGAUGGAUCCGCGCUGCAUUAGCUAGUUGGUAAGGUAACGGCUUACCAAGGCAACGAUGCAUAGCCGACCUGAGAGGGUGAUCGGCCACACUGGAACUGAGACACGGUCCAGACUCCUACGGGAGGCAGCAGUAGGGAAUCUUCCGCAAUGGGCGAAAGCCUGACGGAGCAACGCCGCGGGAGUGAUGAAGGUCUUCGGAUCGUAAAACUCUGUUAUUAGGGAAGAACAUAUGUGUAAGUAACUGUGCACAUCUUGACGGUACCUAAUCAGAAAACCACGGCUAACUACGU
rnacentral:rRNA from 1 species